rnacentral:rRNA from 1 species
CCCUUAGAUGUUCUGGGCCGCACGCGCGCUACACUGAUGCAUUCAACGAGUCUAAAACCUGGUCUGAUAGGGCUGGGUAAUCUUUUGAAAGUGCAUCGUGAUUGGGAUAGAUGAUUGCAAUUCUUCAUCUUCAACGAGGAAUACCUAGUAAACGCAAGUCAUCAGCUUGCAUUGAUUACGUCCCUGCCCUUUGUACACACCGCCCGUCGCUCCUACCGAUUGAAUGAUCCGAUGAAUACCAUGGAUUGAGAGUACGAAUGGGUUCGCUCAUUUCUGCUGCUCGAGAAGUGGAGUAAAUCUUAUCAUUUAGAGGAAGGAGAAGUCGUAACA